rnacentral:misc_RNA from 1 species
GAGAGAGCAAUGGGUUUCAAAUCACAUAAUUGCAUACGUUUCAGGUUGCAAAGAAACUUUAUUAACCCCUCAAUUCAACAAAUAGUGAAAAUAAAGGAACUUCUAGAGGGAACAACGGAUACUCCCCACUUGGAACUUUAGGUGAGUGCAACACUACAGAGUCAAAAGGUUCUAUUUAUAGUGUUCAAUCAACAUAUUAAAUUCAACAAUAAGUAAAC